AAACCUAGCACUGCAUUUUCAACUCCAUUUUUCAAAAUUGCACUGGAAAGCUUAACUGAAGAUUUUUAAAUACUUGUCCUUGUCCUGCUGUUUUCUAAGGAGCCAGUCAACUAUAUCUUCCCACUCUUGCAUCUAUUUAUUUAAAAAAAAUUUAUGACUUUGGGUCAUGCAUUAAAGAUGCUCUGAAUAAUGUCAUAUUCUGCAGCAGGAAAGAGGAGCCUUGCAGUGCAUACUUCUAGGUGGAAGACUUGUGCCACCGCAUUGUCUAGAACAUCUGAGGUGACAACAAGCUUCAAGAAGCUCAAGAACAAGACUGGAAUUCAAAAUUAUGCUGAGACACAGGAGAUACAGUUGGAAAAAAGAUGAUGAAAUUCAUUAGGGACUCAUGCAAAGUAUAACACUUCACAAGCAUAAUCAGCUGUAAAAAUUCAGAAUGGGGACCAGCUGCUUGAGCAGCCGUUAUACAGAAAAGUAUUUAGAAGUUAUAGUGGGCCACAAGUGAACACUGUCAUCCUCCUCCAACCCCCUCCCUCCAUCAUGACUGUAAAACCAGUAGUAUAACCUUCAAAACCAUAUGCCAUUACCCUUCCAAUUUAUUCAGCACUGGGGAGGCCUAUUCUAGAACAACAUAUCCAAGAGAGUUAUGGACAAAAGCCAGAGGACAGGAGUGAGAGUGAUCAUAUACCUGAAAAGUGUGAUAUUUUUGGAAAGAUUGAAAAAAACUGAAACCAUUCAGCCAAAAGAGGGAAAGACUGGAAACAUACCUGUUAAAAGUCUUUAAGUAUGUAAUGUGCUGCUGAAAACAGGAAAGAAAUAUCUGUGGAGGACAGGAUAAGAAAUACCAACCUAAAUUUUUGUAUUGGAUUUGCACAGCAAGGUUUUUGUAGUGGGGGGGUUACAGGGGUGGCUUCUGUAAGAAGCUGCUAGAAGCUUCCCCAAUGUCUUACAGAGCCAAUACCAGCCAGCUCCAAGAUGGACCUGCCGCUGGCCAAGGCUGAGCCCAUCAGCGACAGUGGUAGUGCCUCUGGGAUAACAGAUUUAAAAAGGGAAAAAAAGGUUGCUGUGGGACAGAAACUGCAGCUGGGAGAGGAGUGAGAACAUGUAAGAGAAACAGCCCUGCAGACCCCCAGGUCAGUGCAGA